rnacentral:rRNA from 1 species
CCUACGGGUGGCAGCAGUGGGGAAUAUUGCACAAUGGGGGAAACCCUGAUGCAGCAACGCCGCGUGAGCGAUGAAGGCCUUCGGGUCGUAAAGCUCUGUCCUAGGGGAGAAUUCUUGAGGGUCCUUAAGGGGAAGGCCCGGGUAACUUCGUGGCGGCCGCCGCGGGAAUACGGUGGGGGGUAGCGUUAUCCGGAAUUUCUGGGGGUAAAGGGGGCGGAGGCGGGCCUUCAAGUCAGGGGUGAAAGGCUACGGCUCAACCGUAGUAAGCCUUUGAAACUGUAGGGGUUGAGUGCAGGAGAGGAGAGUGGAAUUCCCAGUGUAGCGGUGAAAUGCGUAGAUAUUGGGAGGAACACCAGUUGCGAAGGCGGCUCUCUGGACUGUAACUGACGCUGAGGCACGAAAGCGUGGGGAGCGAACAGGAUUAGAUACCCUAGUAGUC